ensembl:lncRNA
AUGUACUGUAUUCACUUUUGCUUACUUCUCUUUCUGCUUCUCUCUGCAGCUCUGUCUGAUAGAGGAACAGUAGUGAUGGAGGCCGCUCUGUCCCAUGCUCUGUCUGCCGUAGAUGCUGCCGUAUCGGACCGCAACAAGGCCGAAGCAGGCUCUGUGUGUGGUCAGCGUUUCUCUGUCUCGCAAAACCUGACACAGCCUCGCUCUCGUAUCAUGGGGGGAUCUCCAGCUCCUCUGGGCAGCUGGCCAUGGCUGGUGAACCUUCGGCUGGACGGGGCUCUGAUGUGUGGGGGUGUUCUGGUUGACAGCUCUUGGGUCCUCACUGCCGCCCACUGCUUUGCUGGUGAGAGUUACUGGACAGCAGUAGUGGGAGAGUUUGACCUUACAAAAACUGACCCUGAUGAGCAGAUCAUGAAAGUCAAUCGCAUCAUCACUCAUCCGAAGUUUAACCCAAAGACGUUUAAUAACGACAUUGCUCUGGUGGAGCUGAGUUCUCCAGUAAUUCUGUCUGAACGGGUCACACCUGUCUGCUUGCCCUCUGACCUCGAUCCACCGGCUGGUACACCCUGCUUGGUGGCCGGCUGGGGCUCUCUGUAUGAGGAUGGACCCUCGGCAGAUGUGGUGAUGGAGGCGAAAGUGCCACUGCUGUCUCAGACCACCUGUCGCAGUUCACUGGGGAAGGAGCUGCUCACGAACACCAUGUUCUGCGCUGGAUACCUGUCUGGAGGUAUCGACUCAUGCCAGGGUGAUUCCGGAGGGCCGUUGAUCUACCAGGACGGUUUAUCGGGACGGUUUCAGCUCUUUGGCAUCACCUCUUGGGGGGAUGGCUGUGGGGAGAGGGGAAAGCCUGGUGUUUACACACGGGUCACCGCCUUCUCUGACUGGGUCAUGACAGAGAUACAGAAGUCCUUUGGGAGUCGGGAACCCACAUGUCCUGAGCUGCUUAAGACAAGUGAGCUGUCUGAAGAACAGCAGAUGUCAGAAUUCACCACGCUCUGCCACUUCUACACACUAUCCUGCUCUUCGACCCUCGACCCCUCUGCCUGCCAGCGUCUCGCUCAGGACAAAUGCCAAAGCCGGUUUAAGAAGUGCCAACUGCAUUCCUUUCUGCAGACUCUGCUGGACUUGCUUCAGAGGGCCGAUGACUGUAUCAGAGAUAAAGUUGAUCUGACCUUCUUCACUCAGACUCUUCCUCAGUUGGUGGAGAAUGUGUACAGCUCUGCUCAUAUAACACGAAGACGCAGAAAUGCACUUGAAACAGGUAGAGCCAUUAAACCUGUCUGCACUAUACUUGUACAGCCAAUCAGGGCUCAGGGGGGAUGUACAAUGCUUUCAGAAUGUAAUAUUUUUCAGCAAGUGCUGGUUGACCUGAAUUCUAAGAAUGAUCGUGGUUUGUACCAAUCACGGAUCAAGGCCACUGUUGGUGGGCGACCUUUGACCUUUUACAGCUUGGUGGGUUUGGAGAAUGAAGCAUUCUAUCGUAGUAUGCCACACUGGACUGACGUGACGAUAUGUACACCCCGAUUUAACUUAUUUCCCAAGGACAGAGGUUGA